GGAUGAAGGGAGUAGCCUUUUUACUUUUUUCUUUUUUUCUCUAACCACCUCUUUAACCACCGAGAGGUUGAAAGAUAUCAGAAGCGCACCUCCUUUUUUUUCUAUCCAAAUACAUAUCACGCAACAUGGAAAAAAGAUGUAGGUGGACACGUGUGCCAAUGAAACAUUUCAGAUGACUUCAAGAGAGAUGAGAAAUCAUAGGGAAAAUAAGCGGUGGCAGUUUUUUUUUGUUUUCUGUUGGUACUUCGCUUGACCACCGAGAUGCUAGAAGAAAAUAUAAAAGGCCCCUCUUUUUUCUCCCUUUUAUUAUCUAGAACAGAGUACACAGCGGGCAGCACAAAUAAUUGAGAAAGAAAACACAAACAGGGUGCAAGUGGACACGUGACCCAAGAGAUAUUUUUAACUGCACACUGUAGCAGUAGGUGGAGUGAAUUUGGAGCGUUGAUCGAAGAAUCCAAUGGCUAAGAAUUUUGGGAUGACGUGUCCCAUGUAGGCUGCGCCCUUCAACCUGGCCAUUGUAGAGAGUACUAGUAAAGUUGAGCUAUGCUAAAUAAGACCUAAUUAGACUUAAAAAAUUCAUCACACAAGUUACAUGUAAACCAUAUAAUUAAUUAUUAUUUUUAUCUAUAUACAAUAUUAGAAACUUUUUUUUUAAGUAAACCAGGCCUGAAUAUCCGCUUGCGCAGUGGCGGUUGCUCCCUCGCCUGCGGAAGCGAUCCGUGGAACCCCUGGCUCGAAGAAGUGCCCAUGAUUCCAUAACCUCAUCACCUUCACUUGCUACUAGUGGAUUGUGCGCGCCCCGGCGCGCAAGAGCAAAUGAUACAACGGUGUUUUGAGCAAUACUAAAAAUAAAUAAUGAUAUAUGUUGAAAAUAUUAAAUAUCAUAGUCAUGCUUAUUAACAAUCAUCGAGUUUGUCAACCGGUACAUGGAAGGAUAGUAUGGCCUUGUUUAGUUCCUAAAAUAUUUUGCAAAAUUUUUCGCAUUCCCAUCACAUUUAAUCUUGCGGCACAUGCACGAAACACUAAAUAUAGAUAAAAGAAAUAACUAAUUACACAAUUUAUCUGUAAUUUGUGAGAAGAAUCUUUUGAGUCUAGUUAGUCCAUGAUUGGACAAUAGUUGUCAAAUACAAACGAAAGUGCUAUUGUUCAUAUUUUGCAAAAAAAAUUGGAACUAAACAAGGCAUAUGUUACAAAAGUAUUGUACACCUGCGAUGAUAUGGCAUAAGGUAAAAGCAGUCUUCGGUUGGCUAAAAACAUAGUGUUUAUUUUGUGUUUCUUUUCAAGCUGCAUAGAAGGAUGAUCAGUAGUUCAUGCUGCGGUCGGAUUCGCAGCUAAAUUCAUGUUCGCUUGAGUUCCGCACCGGCGAAAAUCUUUCUAUAUCUGAGAAAAUAUGAAACUAUUUAGGAAAUCUAGAUGUAUGAUCUUACUUUUUUUAUGACUGGGUUAGAGAGUUUGUAAUACGUGCCUCUUACAUGUAGGCUUUGAGUAUUGGUGGAUAGUUUAGAAGAAGAAAGCAUAGAUUUAACAAGAAUAAAGCUAAAAAAAUGUUAUACCUAAUCCAAUGAGUACGAAACUUUUACCAUUGUUCAAACAUAUAAUAAUGAGCCCACUAUAAAAAUUUUACCACAAAUGAACAAUAUGAAGUACAUAUAUGAUUUGUUCUUAUUAAUUAUAGAAAAACAUAGAUUUAAAGCUACAACAAAAACUUUGUACUAAAGCCUUGUUUAGUUCACCUCCAAAACCAAAAACUUUUCAAGAUUCCCUGUCACAUCGAAUGUUGCGGCACAUGCAUGGAGCAUUAAAUAUAGAUGAAAACAAAAACUAAUUGCACAGUUUGCCUGUAAAUCGUGAGACGAGUCUUUUAAACCUAGUUACUCUAUAAUUGGACAAUGUUUGUCAAAUAAAAACGAAAGUGCUACAGUGUUAGAAUCCCAAAAAAUUUUAGAUCUAAACAACGCCUAAAGUAUAUCAUAUUAUAUAUUCAUUCCGUAGAUCUACUCAUCAGGACCCCAACAAAAUUGAAUUUUUUAUUUUAUAUUUUUUUUGAUUUACUACAAUUUUUAAAAUAUUCAGCGGAAAUAAAUAAAUAAAAGACAAAACCACCCUCUAAAAUCACGGGUUAUUUAACCGGUUUUAAAAAUUCAGGGUGUAGAAUAUCCGGUUUAUAGUUUAGGGAUGAAGUAUUACACCCUAAAUAGUUUGAGGGGUUAAUCUGCAUCCCACAAAUAAUUGCAUUUCUUCGACUUCUAUGAUUCAUGUUUGACCGUCCGUCUUAUUCAAAAAUAUAAUAAAUAUUAUUUUUUUAUUUAUGACUUAUUUUGUUGUUAGAUAAAUUUUUAUAAUGAUUUAUUUAUUUUAUCGUUUGAUAAAAAAUAAAUAAGAUGAAUAGUCAAACAUGAAUCGUAGCAGUCAAGAAAUGCAUUUAUUUUUGGGAUGAAGGGAGUAGCCUUUUUACUUUUUUCUUUUUUUUCUCUAACCACCUCUUUAACCACCGAGAGGUUGAAAGAUAUCAGAAGCGCACCUCCUUUUUUUUCUAUCCAAAUACAUAUCACGCAACAUGGAAAAAAGAUGUAGGUGGACACGUGUGCCAAUGAAACAUUUCAGAUGACUUCAAGAGAGAUGAGAAAUCAUAGGGAAAAUAAGCGGUGGCAGUUUUUUUUUUCUGUUGGUACUUCGCUUGACCACCGAGAUGCUAGAAGAAAAUAUAAAAGGCCCCUCUUUUUUCUCCCUUUUAUUAUCUAGAACAGAGUACACAGCGGGCAGCACAAAUAAUUGAGAAAGAAAACACAAACAGGGUGCAAGUGGACACGUGACCCAAGAGAUAUUUUUAACUGCACACUGUAGCAGUAGGUGGAGUGAAUUUGGAGCGUUGAUCGAAGAAUCCAAUGGCUAAGAAUUUUGGGAUGACGUGUCCCAUGUAGGCUGCGCCUUUCAACCUGGCCAUUGU
rnacentral:lncRNA from 1 species